UACGGAGGGGGCUAGCGUUGUUCGGAAUUACUGGGCGUAAAGCGCACGUAGGCGGCUUUGUAAGUUAGAGGUGAAAGCCCAGGGCUUAACCCUGGAAUUGCCUUUAAGACUGCAUCGCUAGAAUUGUGGAGAGGUAAGUGGAAUUCCGAGUGUAGAGGUGAAGUUCGUAGAUAUUCGGAAGAACACCAGUGGCGAAGGCGACUUACUGGACACAUAUUGACGCUGAGGUGCGAAAGCGUGGGGAGCAAACAGG
rnacentral:rRNA from 1 species